GAUGAACGCUGGCGGCGUGCUUAACACAUGCAAGUCGAACGAUGAAAGCGGGAGCUUGCUCCUGCUGGAUUAGUGGCGAACGGGUGAGUAACACGUGAGCAAUCUGCCCCGAACUCUGGGAUAAGCGUUGGAAACGACGUCUAAUACCGGAUACGACGCGCGAAGGCAUCUUCUGCGCGUGGAAAGAAUUUCGGUUCGGGAUGAGCUCGCGGCCUAUCAGCUAGUUGGUGAGGUAACGGCUCACCAAGGCGACGACGGGUAGCCGGCCUGAGAGGGUGACCGGCCACACUGGGACUGAGACACGGCCCAGACUCCUACGGGAGGCAGCAGUGGGGAAUAUUGCACAAUGGGCGAAAGCCUGAUGCAGCAACGCCGCGUGAGGGACGACGGCCUUCGGGUUGUAAACCUCUUUUAGUAGUGAAGAAGCGAAAGUGACGGUACCUGCAGAAAAAGCACCGGCUAACUACGUGCCAGCCGCCGCUGUAAAAC
rnacentral:rRNA from 1 species